rnacentral:rRNA from 1 species
UACGUAGGUGGCAAGCGUUGUCCGGAAUUAUUGGGCGUAAAGCGCGCGCAGGUGGUUUCUUAAGUCUGAUGUGAAAGCCCACGGCUCAACCGUGGAGGGUCAUUGGAAACUGGGGAACUUGAGUGCAGGAGAGAAGAGUGGAAUUCCACGUGUAGCGGUGAAAUGCGUAGAGAUGUGGAGGAACACCAGUGGCGAAGGCGACUCUUUGGCCUGUAACUGACACUGAGGCGCGAAGGCGUGGGGAGCGAACGGG